rnacentral:lncRNA from 1 species
CAAGCAGCUCCGUCGGAGCCGCUCACGUCCUCCAUCCUCUGCUGCUUCUUCACAACCCUCUCAUCGAACCCUGCAUCUCCGUCGCCGCCGCCGCCGGACGAGCUGCUGGUUCCUCCUUCUGAAGUCGAAUUCGAUAACGGUUCGACCCUGUGGAGGACGGAUCUCGGCUUGGAUUUCACCGACAGAGCCACCGUGGAUCCGGUGAGGCCGGCGGGG